rnacentral:rRNA from 1 species
AGCGAACGCUGGCGGCGUGCCUAACACAUGCAAGUCGAACGUGAAAGGGAGCAAUCCCAAGUAAAGUGGCGUACGGGUGAGUAACACGUAGGUAAUCUACCCCAGCAUCUGGAAUAACCGGCCGAAAGGCUGGCUAAUACUGGAUAGAGCGACGGAAUCCGUAAUUGGGUUUUUCGGGAAAGGGAGCCUGUAAAAAGGCCUUCGUUCUGGGAUGAGCCUGCGUCUGAUCAGCUAGUUGGUGAGGUAAAAGCUGACCAAGGCGAUGACGGGUAGCUGGUCUGAGAGGACGACCAGCCACACUGGGACUGAGACACGGCCCAGACGCCGACGGGAGGCAGAAGUGGGGAAUGGUGGACAAGGGGCGGAAGCCUGAUCCAGCAAUGCCGCGGGGUGGAAGAAGGCCUUCGGGGUGUAAAGAACGUUUGGCCGGAAAGAAAGCCUUGGCUCUAAUACAGUCGGGGGAUGACGGUACCGGAAGAAUAAGCACCGGCUAACUACGUG